UAUGUACCCCUUAUUUACUACAAAUUCAACUGGACUCGCCACAUCAUGAGGCCACUCACUAUGCACCUCCAGCUGCUACUGCAAGUCGUUCCAUCCGAAAAGAUUGAGUGAAAGAUGUCAAACUUGAGAAAAGACAGACAUAACAGCCUGCAAUGGACAACAGAUUGAUCCGUGGAAAUGUGGAUAAAGGAUCCUUAAAGGGAACACAGCUGUUUUUUUUCCAAUAUGAGACCAGACCAACAGUUUCCAAUGUAAGACCAUCUAUUGUUUAAUGGACUGCAGGCCUUUCCCAGGGCACAUGGAUUUGUUUUUACUUCAAAGAAUAACGUAUCUUUUCCAUGAACGUCUGUACAUUAUGACAACUUCCAGUUUAUCUAACUUAUUUUAUAAUUAAAAUGCAAGUUUGUUGUACAGGAUAACAAUGAUAUUUUCCACCUUUACUGAACUCAAAUGUAUUAAUUGUGUUAAUAUAUUGACUCAGACUCAUUUAAUCACAUUAGAAGAAUUGUAGUAAUUUAAGUCUUUAAGUAGCCAAUAUUAUAAUUGUUGUUACUAGAAAAAAUAAUACAACAAUGGGAUUCUAGUAAAAAUCCCAUUCGUUUCCUCCACAGGUAAAUUGAUUUUUAACUAUAACUUUUAAAGACAGACCUACUGUAAGCUAUGAAGAUGUUUGUUUGUUUUGGCCUAUUUAAUAUAAGCACAUAUAUUUUAACUGUUCACGGUUUGUUUUCAAUUCAGUGUCUAUUAAAGUUUUACAUUACUCUGCAA